AUACGGAGGGUCCGAGCGUUAAUCGGAAUUACUGGGCGUAAAGCGCGCGUAUGUGGCUAUAUAAGUCAGAUGUGAAAUCCCUGGGCUCAACCUAGGAACUGCAUUUGAAACUGUAUGGCUAGAGUAUGGUAGAGGUGAGUGGAAUUUCAGGUGUAGCGGUGAAAUGCGUAGAGAUCUGAAGAAACAUCAGUGGCGAAGGCGACUCACUGGGCCAUUACUGACACUGAGGUGCGAAAGCGUGGGUAGCAAACAGGAUUAGAAACCCUUGUAGUCC
rnacentral:rRNA from 1 species